GGGUGACCUCCUGGGAAGGCCUCGUGUUGCAACCC
rnacentral:rRNA from 2 species